GAGGUCACGCUGAACCUCUUGAGCACUCCCUUGGUAAGGGAGAGGUCGACAGUUCAAUCCUGUCCGGCAGCACCA
rnacentral:tRNA from 1 species